GCGGGGGUUGCCGAGCCAGGAAAAGGCGCAGGGCUUAAGACCCCACCGGGGUAAGAAACCCUGUCCCGAAGGGGUCCGCGGGUUCAAAUCCCGCCCCCCGCA
rnacentral:tRNA from 1 species